rnacentral:rRNA from 1 species
GAUGAACGCUGGCGGCGUGCCUAAUACAUGCAAGUCGAGCGAACAGACGAGGAGCUUGCUCCUCUGACGUUAGCGGCGGGCGGGUGAGUAACACGUGGAUAACCUACCUAUAAGACUGGGAUAACUUCGGGAAACCGGAGCUAAUACCGGAUAAUAUAUUGAACCGCAUGGUUCAAUAGUGAAAGACGGUUUUGCUGUCACUUAUAGAUGGAUCCGCGCCGCAUUAGCUAGUUGGUAAGGUAACGGCUUACCAAGGCGACGAUGCGUAGCCGACCUGAGAGGGUGAUCGGCCACACUGGAACUGAGACACGGUCCAGACUCCUACGGGAGGCAGCAGUAGGGAAUCUUCCGCAAUGGGCGAAAGCCUGACGGAGCAACGCCGCGCGAGUGAUGAAGGUCUUCGGAUCGUAAAACUCUGUUAUUAGGGAAGAACAAAUGUGUAAGUAACUAUGCACGUCUUGACGGUACCUAAUCAGAAAGCCACGGCUAACUACGUG